GCGCCUGUAGUCUAACGGAUAGGGCACUGGCCUCCGGAGCCAGUCGUGCAGGUUCAAUUCCUGCCAGGCGCA
rnacentral:tRNA from 1 species